GAAAACUUAGUUUAAUUAAAAUAUUAAUUUGUCAAGUUAAAGAAGUAUGUAUUAUAGUUUUCG
rnacentral:tRNA from 1 species